AGAAACGUGGCCGAGCGGUUUAAGGCACCGGUCUUGAAAACCGGCGACGGGUAACUGUCCGUGAGUUCGAAUUUCACCGUUUCUGCCA
rnacentral:tRNA from 1 species